GCUACGUGAUGCAUUCAGAGCCAGGAGUGCUUGUUGCUGAGAUGACCUUUAUCAUCCUUGACUGAUAGCC